rnacentral:rRNA from 1 species
CAUUGCAGUCGACGAUGAUCCCCAGCUUGCUGGGGGGAUUAGUGGCGAACGGGUGAGUAACACGUGAGUAACCUGCCCUUGACUCUGGGAUAAGCCUGGGAAACUGGGUCUAAUACCGGAUAUGACUCCUCAUCGCAUGGUGGGGGGUGGAAAGCUUUUGUGGUUUUGGAUGGACUCGCGGCCUAUCAGCUUGUUGGUGGGGUAAUGGCCUACCAAGGCGACGACGGGUAGCCGGCCUGAGAGGGUGACCGGCCACACUGGGACUGAGACACGGCCCAGACUCCUACGGGAGGCAGCAGUGGGGAAUAUUGCACAAUGGGCGCAAGCCUGAUGCAGCGACGCCGCGUGAGGGAUGACGGCCUUCGGGUUGUAAACCUCUUUCAGUAGGGAAGAAGCCCUCUUUGGGGGUGACGGUACUUGCAGAAGAAGCGCCGGCUAACUACGUGCCAGCAGCCGCGGUAAUACGUAGGGCGCAAGCGUUAUCCGGAAUUAUUGGGCGUAAAGAGCUCGUAGGCGGUUUGUCGCGUCUGCUGUGAAAGACCGGGGCUCAACUCCGGUUCUGCAGUGGGUACGGGCAGACUAGAGUGCAGUAGGGGAGACUGGAAUUCCUGGUGUAGCGGUGAAAUGCGCAGAUAUCAGGAGGAACACCGAUGGCGAAGGCAGGUCUCUGGGCUGUAACUGACGCUGAGGAGCGAAAGCAUGGGGAGCGAACAGGAUUAGAUACCCUGGUAGUCCAUGCCGUAAACGUUGGGCACUAGGUGUGGGGGACAUUCCACGUUUUCCGCGCCGUAGCUAACGCAUUAAGUGCCCCGCCUGGGGAGUACGGCCGCAAGGCUAAAACUCAAAGGAAUUGACGGGGGCCCGCACAAGCGGCGGAGCAUGCGGAUUAAUUCGAUGCAACGCGAAGAACCUUACCAAGGCU